rnacentral:rRNA from 1 species
AAUGAACGCUGGCGGCGUGCCUAAUACAUGCAAGUCGAACGAACAGACGAGGAGCUUGCGCCCCUGCCGUUAGCGGCGGACGGGUGAGUAACACGUGGAUAACCUACUUAUAAGACUGGGAUAACUUCGGGAAACCGCAGACACUACUAGAGAAUAUAUUGAACCGCAGGGUUCAAUAGUGAAAGACGGUUUUGCUGUCACUAAUAGCUGGAUCCGCGUCGGAUUAGCUAGUUGGUAAGGUAACGGCUUACCAAGGCAACGAUGCGUAGCCGACCUGAGAGGGUGAUCGGCCACACUGGAACUGAGACACGGUCCAGACUCCUACGGGAGGCAGCAGUAGGGAAUCUUGCGCAAUGGGCGAAAGCUUGACGGAGCAACGCCGCGUGAGUGAAGAAGGUCUUCGGAUCGUAAAGCUCUGUUGUUAGGGAAGAACAGAUGUGGAAGUAACCAUGCACGUCUUGACGGUACCUAAACAGAAAGCAACGGCUAACUACGUG